UACAGAGGUCUCAAGCGUUGUUCGGAAUCACUGGGCGUAAAGGGUGCGUAGGCCGCACGGUAAGUCAGAGGUGAAAUCCCGGAGCUCAACUUCGGAAUUGCCUCCGAUACUGCCGUGCUUGAGGACUGGAGAGGAGUCUGGAAUUCACAGUGGAGCAGUGAAAUGCGUAGAUAUUGUGAGGAACACUAGUGGCGAAGGCGAGACUCUGGACAGUUCCUGACGCUGAGGCACUAAGGCCAGGGGAGCAAACGGG
rnacentral:rRNA from 1 species